CCUACGGGAGGCAGCAGUAGGGAAUCUUCCACAAUGGGCGAAAGCCUGAUGGAGCAACGCCGCGUGGGUGAAGAAGGUCUUCGGAUCGUAAAACCCUGUUGUUAGAGAAGAAAGUGCGUGAGAGUAACUGUUCACGUGUCGACGGUAUCUAACCAGAAAGCCACGGCUAACUACGUGCCAGCAGCCGCGGUAAUACGUAGGUGGCAAGCGUUAUUCGGAUUUAAUGGGCGUAAAGGGAACGCAGGCGGUCUUUUAAGUCUGAUGUGAAAGCCUUCGGCUUAACCGGGGUAGUGCAUUUGAAACUGGGAGACUUGAGUGCGGGAGAGGGGAGUGGAACUCCAUGUGUAGCGGUGAAAUGCGUAGAUAUAUGGAAGAACACCAGUGGCGAAGGCGGCUCUCUGGUCUGUAACUGACGCUGAGGUUCGAAAGCGUGGGUAGCAAACAGGAUUAGAUACCCUUGUAGUC
rnacentral:rRNA from 1 species